rnacentral:tRNA from 1 species
CGGCGUGUAGCGCAGCCCGGUAGCGCUUCGGUCUGGGGGACCGAAGGUCGCAGGUUCAAAUCCUGUCACGCCGACCA